UUGAUAUGUAGAUACCUAUUUCUUCAUUACCCACAAGGACAGACAUAGGUAUUAAGUCGAUUUUAUCGACCUUGAAAGGCAAAGUUGACCUCGGCGGAAUUUGAACUCACAACGUAACGCAGACGAAAUACUGCUAAGCAUUUCGCCCGGCGUGCUAAUGUUUCUGCCAGUCCACCGCCUUUGAUAUAUAGAUACCAGGUGAGAAUGCAAUCGAUAAAGCCGUUUUUGUCCUGCUUUUCUUCCGUCAACCUGUACAUAACUGCACCUUCCAUUUUUUGCUGUUCUUGUACUGCUUAAAGGCACGUUUCUUUCCUUCCACGCUUACUGGUUAAACCAUGUUUGUGUUCUCCAAGUCAACAGCCUAAUCAUUACUGGUACUUUAAACUCUUCGGUUGCAUAUUUGUGCGAAUAAAAUCGUUUUUCUUUGGAAUAGAAAAGAACGUCUAUCUUUAUUUCUUUUGCUGGUGGUGUCUCAGAUUUAGGUUAAAUCAGUGUUUCUCAAAGGGGAGGCCUAUCGGCCUGUUGAAUACUACAACAACCUUUCCCUGUUUCUUCUAGAUUAUAACCUAUAUAAAUAUUCCUCUAUUUAUUGUUAUAUAGGGGUCUGCAUUCAAAGCAAGGAUUAGUAAAUUUACAAAACCAGAAUGCUUUUGAAUCUCUUUAACAAUUCACAAUAAUGAUUCUUAUUCCUACCUCAGUUCAUCUAAUUGUGUAUAUAUCUAUUGUUACUUUGCAGUUUCUUUUUACUUCCCCUUACAUUUCCACAUAUAUACUAGCAGUGUUGCUCGGGUUUGUUUCGACCCUUUAGAACUGGAAUUUUUGAAUUUUAUCUUCUACGGAAGGAAGAGCAAGCCUUCUUCCAUCAUACUCUCAAUUUUGGUCAACUUGUGCCACAGUAUAUAUUGCUAUAUUUCGGAAUGGUCAUUUUGCCAAUAAAAACACACGCACUAUAUAUUUGGUGUUAUUUUUUACAUUAAUCUUAUUUCGGCCAAAGGCUAGGUUUAUUUUCUAUUAUGUGUGUAGCUUCUGUAAUUUGUCUGAUUGUUGCAUCUGUGGACAAUAUUUUAAUUUCUAUGAUUGAUCUUCUGUGUGGCGUGUUGGUACAGAAUUGAUAAACUUUUACCUUCCUUGAGUUGUCUCCAAUGUCAUUUAUCCACUCUCCUAUGCUUCUUGCCGUUUCCCCUACGUAUGUCAUCUUGUUACUGCAUCGUCCCUCUAUACAUCUUAUACUACAUUUCUGGCUUUACAGUUUGUUUGUGGGCUAAAUCUACAUACAGUACUUAUCUGUACAGGGGGUUCUACUAAUUAUAGAUUUGAUAGGGUUGCCUGGCUUUUCAACAUCCUUAGCUUAAGUUUGUCUAGGGUCCUUCUAAGGCAGUAUGCCAGUUCACCUACAGGGGUGGUGUCAACGAACAUGACACUCUGGUGAUCAUACCAAGAGGUGGCCUUACCUUUUUUGUCCUUUCUAUAGAGUGGGAAAAUCCCAUUACAUAGUGAAUUAUCAAGUUUCGAUAUGGCUGAGAACUGCAUGCAGUGAAUUAGGUAUGAUAUGUGUCUCUGUAGGCUCUCACAUGUGAGACACAUUUCUCAUUAUUCUGACAAGGUCUGAGUUCCGGUGGAUCAAGUAUUUUGAGGCCAAGGGUUUGGCAUAGUACGAAUGAAGGAUUUGGGUUUUAUUAUUCACAAUUUCUAGCCAGAGUUCUGUGUCUAGUACUGGUAGUCUAUUGUGACCUUACUGCUCUCCAUAGUAUUAGUUUCUAUUACUAUAUCAACAGUACUCUUUUGUAGGGGUGCCUUUACCACUAUGUUGAUAUCAACAUAGUGAGAUUAGAUGUUCACUAGUAUAGAUUGCAACAAUCCAGACUCUGCUAAAUUUACAUUAAGGGAAGACUAACUAAGGUGGACAUAGCGAAUGUAGUAACAACAACAAAAUGUUUCCUCUUUCAUUUAUUUGCUUUAUUCAUUUCAAAAUCAUUUCGUCUGUUACAAUAUCUUCUCCUCCACUAAAGAAACAGAACAGUGGCAGAGAUGAAUUUCGAUGUUGUAGAAAUGACUUGUGGUGGUGUUAGAGAAAUAGGUCCAAGCCUUCAGCAGUGAAUCAAAGGCUAAUUGACUAACAUUGAUAAAUCAAUAUAUAAUAAUUAUGGCAGGGGAUCAGAACUUAAAGAUGGAUGAAAUGACACUUAACAUUUUUGCGUGGUUUGCUAAUGUUUCCCAUCUUAAUGGUAAUAAUCCUUUCCAAUAUAGGCACGUGGAGUGGAGGGUAGUCGAUCACAUUGAUCCCCGUUCUUGGCUGGUACCUAAUCUAUCGGGAUGAAAGGCAAUGUUGACCUUUGAGGAAUUUGAACUCAGGAUAGGAAGAAAUGCCACUUAGCAUUCACCUGGUGUGCUAAUGAUAAUAAUCCUUUUCAAUAUAGAUACAAAGCCUAAAACUUGGGGUAGAAUAGAUUGAAAACUACCCUAGUGUUUCAUUAGCACUUAAUUUAUUGACCCCUUGGUGGUAUUGCAGUACCAGUAAGCAUUUUGUCUGCUGCCUUAUUGGUGAUGAUAACAACUUAUAAUAAAUGUUUUGUAAAGAUAAUUGAGGACAAACAAUCAUUAUAGGGUGCUGUGUGUGUCUUUGAAGUCAUGUAGAGGUGUAUGCACCUUAACCCCUUCAUUACCAACCCAGCCCAGCACUACAAAUGUCUUGUUUUCAAAAGUUCCAAAUUAAAAUCUUCCACCAAACCUUAGUCGCAAUUUAUGUUCCUAACACUUGCUGAAUGAUAACCAAGUUAUUUUACUAAAUUCUUUGUUGUAAUUGAAAGAAACACAGAGCAUCUCAGCAGGGAUAGGGUAACAGAAGGUUUAAAAUAUACAGUAGCAAAACAGUUCUUAACCCUUUUGAUACCACCUCUGGCUCAGUAGUACAAAGCUCUUGUUUUGAAUUGUAAUGAUGGAUACAUGAAAAUUUCAAAGUGUGUAUGUAUUAGGCUGUCAAUAUAUAUGUGUAUUUGGUUUGCAAGAUUCUUUGUAUGUUGAAGUGUAUUUUAUGGUCCGGCAAGUGUCUUCUACUAUAGCCUUUUGUGUUUACGUCCCUGGUAACUUAACGUUUCGGCAAAAGAGACCGAUAGAAUAAGACCUGGGGUUGACUAAAAGCAGUGCUCCAGCAUCGCCAAAUGACUGAAAAGAUCUAGCUAUUUAUGAUGGAGAAGGAUAUAUAUAUUUGAUUUUGAGUGUGGUUAUUAAGCGGAACAUAGCUCACUAAUACUCCUGUCUAUUUUAUUUGCGAAUGUUGGUAAUCUCAAAAUAAAGCCGUGUAUUUUAUAAUAGUAUGUAUAUAUACACUUAUGUACAGAACUUAUAUUAGCGCAAUUCAGCUAGCAACACCAAGUCAAGCAAACACAUACGAUUGGUUCAUUUUAUUUGAUACAGUUUCUCUCAUUUUUGUUGUAGGUAUUGCUGUCGUCGAAAUCAACAAACUUUGGUCGGCUUCCAGAGAGUUGCAGCACUUCACUGGGUGGUGUGGAACUAAAGGUGGUCGAUGGUUUUAGAAGAUACAAUGGUGUCGCACUGGGAUGGCUUGUCAUCCUUUCUGUAAUUAAAUAAAAUGGAAUAAAACAAUUUUAUUCAUAU
rnacentral:lncRNA from 1 species